rnacentral:misc_RNA from 1 species
GAUGAAGAACGUAGCGAAAUGCGAUAAGUAAUGUGAAUUGCAGAAUUCAGUGAAUCAUCGAAUCUUUGAACGCACCUUGCACCCUUUGGCAUUCCGAAGGGUAUGCUCGUUUGAGUGUCAUUGUACUCUCACACUUCUGAUCCUUUGGAUUGGGAGCGGUGGACUUGGGUGUUGCUGCUUUACUGUGGCUCACCUCAAAUGCAUUCGUGCAACUCUUGGUUGGACAUAGUACGGCGUGAUAAGUAUCUUCGCCGGCACCUCGCAAGAGGGUGGCUGAUCAGGAGCUCUGUGCUUUCCAACUGUCUUCAGAAAACAACUGACAACUUGACCUCAAAUCGAGUAGGACCACCCGCUGAACUUAAGCAUAUCAAUAAGCGGAGGA